rnacentral:rRNA from 1 species
GCUAAACGAUUCACCGAAGCUGUGGAUUGACAUCUACGAUGUCAGUGGUAGGAGAGCGUUCUAAGUGCGUUGAAGUCAGACCGGAAGGACUGGUGGAGCGCUUAGAAGUGAGAAUGCCGGUAUGAGUAGCGAAAGACGGGUGAGAAUCCCGUCCACCGUAUGACUAAGGUUUCCUGAGGAAGGCUCGUCCGCUCAGGGUUAGUCGGGACCUAAGCCGAGGCCGAUAGGCGUAGGCGAUGGACAACAGGUUGAUAUUCCUGUACCACCUCCUCACCGUUUGAGAAAUGGGGGGACGCAGUAGGAUAGGGUAAGCGCGCUGUUGGAUAUGCGCGUCCAAGCAGUAAGGCGUGUGUGUAGGCAAAUCCGCACACUAUAACGUUGAGCUGUGAUGGCGAGUCCGUAUGGACGAAGUUCCUGAUUUCACACUGCCAAGAAAAGCCUCUAUCGAGGUGAGAGGUGCCCGUACCGCAAACCGACACAGGUAGUCGAGGAGAGAAUCCUAAGGUGUGCGAGAGAACUCUCGUUAAGGAACGCGGCAAAAUGACCCCGUAACUUCGGGAGAAGGGGUGCUCUUGAGCGUGCAAGCGCAUGAGAGCCGCAGUGAAUAGGCCCAGGCGACUGUUUAGCAAAAACACAGGUCUCUGCAAAACCGUAAGGUGACGUAUAGGGGC